AUCAAUAUCGAGAAGAUAUGCUGAAGAGAGAACUUAAUAAGGCUUUUGUUGGUUUCAAACAUGAACUGUCUACACCAGCGCCAGGCGUUGCGACGGGUAACUGGGGAUGUGGUGUUUUUAAUGGUGACAAACGUUUGGAAGCAAUUCUUCAAUUGAUGGCUUGCAUUGUUAACGAUCGCCCAUUAGUCUAUUUCACCUUCGGGGAUGAGAAAUUUUCCAAUGAAUUGGUCGCAUUCCACAAAUAUUUGACAGGGAGCAAAAUCACAAUUGGUAAAAAAAAGAAAUGAAAGAGACAUUUCAAGGUGUACUUACGUUAAAGUAUCUUUAUUUUUAUUCUUGUAUGAAUCUCUCAUCGCUGUUCAGCCGAGUUAUGGGACCUUUUGAAAGGGUAUGUAAAGUCAAAAUACAAAGAGCCUCUAUAUGAAUUCAUCAAAAGUGGCUACGAAAAGUCUAUGUAAGUGACCAACUUAUCAUCAUUCCACACACGCUCCACAAUGAAGUAAAAAAAUUCAAUUAUUCACAUUUAGGAAGAAAACGCCAAAAAAGACUUCAAAUUCAAAUAAACUAGAUCAAUUUUGUUCAAUGUUUAAAUGGCAUUUUAAUGUGCACAUGGCAAAGACAGCUGAUGUAGCUAAUAAGUCAGAUGAUGCAGAUGAUUGAAACCGUUAUUUCCUAUAUUUUUAGGCCCUGAAGAAGAGUCGCAGAUGACUUGGAAUGUCUGCAUUUAUUUCAAAUAAAUUAUCGAUUGGAACAAAGA